rnacentral:tRNA from 1 species
GAAAUAUCUCAUAUUAAGCUUCUAACUUAAUUCUUAGUGAUUAAAUUCAUUAAUAUUUCU